AUUUUUCAAAUAAGAGGUAUUAUUUAAGGGUCUCCAUGCUUCUAAGUAUAUAUAAAUUACAAUACCCUUAAGGCAGAAUUCAUAUUGUAUUCUUAAUUUAAGCUUUUGUGUUUCUGCUAACUUCACCAAUAAAAAGAAACCUUUCUGAUUAAGGCAGAAUUCUUAUUGUUUUCCUUAUUUAAGCAUCUAUGGUUCUGAUAACUUUCACAAAUAAAAAGAAAUGUUUCUAAACUUUCUAUUUCUUUUGCAGAUAAAAGUAGGGGAUGUUUGUGUUUUGGCAAGCACAUUGUUUACUUUAGUAAGGAAAGAAUGGUCUUCAGAAGUACGACUGCAAGCCUACAAGAUGCUCCAGUUUACAUUAUGAUAACUUUGCAUUUAGCUCUUAGCUUUUUAUCCAUAGUUGUCCACCAAAUAGCUGAGAUUCUUUUUAGCUUACCUUUCUUCACAGUGUUCGACCAAUAACAUUGUUCACUAAUGGCUUCAUUCAGAACUUGACACAAUUUUACAAAGUUACACUUUCAAAUUUCUAUUGUUCAAGGAAAGGGAAAAAUACUGGUAAUUAUCUUUUGGCUUCAGUACAGAAGUGAAUAUCCACUAUGACCUCUCCCCCACUUUGCACUCAUAGUGUCCUUUUCCAGAAGAUUUGAGCCAGCCUGCCCGUAGAAAGAUAAUAAGAUUAGCUACUGGGGAAAAUAUAGUCUCCUGUCCUAAAUGGGCAUAAAGUACUUGACAACAGAACCCCAAAAUCUGUAAGAAAAUGGCCGAGCUUCUAUUUUGUGGUUGACAUCUGCACAGAAGGCAUGAUACCUAUAUAAGGGAUUUGAAAUUUCAAGUCAAGAUUCCUUUACACUCUUCUCUUUGAAUUUCAUACAAGCCCAGUCUGUGAUAUAAAUGUUCCCAGUAUUACCUGAAUGGCUUAAACAUUGAGCUCCUAUCCAUUUCUUAAAUUUUAUUAAUUUUACAGCAUUAGGUGCGGUUGCGAUGGGAUGAACUGAACCCCGAUGAGCGAAGGAACUUUACAAGUGUAGUUGUUGAUUUGAUGUCAGAAAUUACAAAUUCCAGUGAAGAAUGGGCUUUGAAAAGUCAGACGUCAGCUCUUGUUUCCAAGGUUUGGCCGUUUGCUUGCAACUUUCAGCUCUUCACGUCUUUCGCUAUGUCCCCGUCCUAGAAGAUGGCACUUUAAUUCAUGCUCUGAGGUGGUUAUCACUUGACAUACCACACAAGUCCACUCUGUUUGAACAUUCUUUACAGAAUUGGUUUCUGGGAGUUUAAUCUCCUCGACAUCCACUGGAAGUGUUGUUCCCUUGAACUGCAUAGCUGUUGGUUUCUUCUCAAAUCUGAAUUAGAUUUUCCUUCACAGUAUUAAGCUGCAGUUCCACAGAUGAUAUUUUAAUCACUGGCAUACAGACUACUUUUACUCCAGAGCCACUGAUUAUCUCUUAAGUGUCUGCAAUGUGAUCUUGUGAUGCUUAUAUCCCUGUGCUGAUCUUAUUUAAAAAAACUAAUAUCUCGGUUUCUCACUGCUGACUUCUGAGACCUAUAUGUUCCUCUUUCUCCUACCUGUUUUUCCCUUGUUUUGGUUUCUCUCCAUCCAUAUAACAAGGGUUGGUGGGACGAAAAUCGCCAUUUGUCAUCAUGCUUAAAGGCUCAUUUUCUUCUUGUGAGAUGAUUAGCAUUGGAAUGGCUGAAAGAAAUAGUUGAAAGAUAUAUCAUGCACAUGAAUAUUGAUAACUUGGAAUAUGGGGAAGGGGGGUGUCAAGAGUCUUUCUUAGAAUAUCUAUCAAUCAGGUGUUCUUUCUGUAAUUGAGACAUUGCAAUCUCAUAAACAGCAGGCCAUGAACAAAACUAUUUGCAACACAAGCACCUGCUGUUCUUUAAAUGGUCUCUCUGUGCCUGUUUUACGUUAACUUAAGCCAUUGAAGACUAGACAUGAUUAUUAAAUACCACCUGAAUUACCCUCUGGAUAGAGCUAGUUGGAUAUUGUGUUGCGAGCUUACCAUGACACUUGAGACAUUCACUUCUACGUGACCAGCUACUACAUUUUUAGUCCGGAACAUAAAGUCCACACUUUAACAAAUAAUUAAGAAAUAACAGUACAAUUUUCAAAAAACAUAUGAAGAAAAUUGAACAGAUAGCUCUCAGAUAUCUGUGUACUACAAUUACUCUAUGGUCUCAAUUUAGUCAGCAUAAUGUUAUUGUGACAUCAUAUGAUAUUAUUUGCAAAGAUAGUGAUUAUCUUAGGUAGCUAUUCUGGAACUAUUGCAUUCUAAAUAAGGGACAUAUCAUAAAGAAUUCUAAGUCGAAAAGAACAGUUGCUUUAACAGCAACUGAAGGCACAGUGUCGCCUCAUUCUGAGUGGAACGCCAAUACAGGUGUGUUUGUGUUAGUAGUUCAACCACAUUCAAAAAUUUACAACAAUUCAAUGGGCGCUUAACUAUUGUCCGACUUAAAUUGCAGAAUAAUGUGUUGGAUCUGUGGUCGCUCUUUGACUUUCUUGUGCCAGGGUUUCUUGGAACUGAAAGACAAUGUUUUGUUUCAACUUAUGUCCCUUAAAAGUUGGAUCUGGGUGGGAGUAUGCACGAGGAAGCUGGUGCUACUUUCCAUUCCUUCGAGUCGUGGCUUGAUGCUGAAGCACGUGUGCUUGCUAUGGAAGCAUUGCACAAGCAGGUGGGUUCAUUUCUACCUGCAUAUGGCCUUCACAGUUCGGAUCUCUUCUCGUCUAGAUUCAAACUGGAAGGUUUGCCUUGACAGGUGAUGCCUUUUCUCCUUCGUCGGACUAAAGAUGAAGUCUUAUCUGAUCUGCCAUAGAAAAUUAUUCAGGAUGGAUACUGUGACCUGAGUCCUGUUCAGUUAAAACUCUAUGAACAAUUUUCUGGUUCACAUGGAAGGCAAGAAAUUGCCAGCAUGGUGAAGCCAAAAAAAUUAUUUGUAUAUUUGUUGAGCAAAAUUUUACUUCGUUUGAUUCAUUUUGAAUGUGUAGGAUCAAUGCGGGAAUCAAAUUUGAAUGGUGGACGCCACGACUUAAAUUGAUCUAGAUUGAAGGGAAUGAUGAUGAAUUUUUGAAAUAUUUUGAUAUACGUUUUUAUACAUUUGGUUUUGUGUGGAACUUGGUACAAAUUUAUUAUGUUGUUUUCUAAUCAAUAUGUAAAAGACGUUUUUUUGAAAUCAAAUCUAUGCACUUCAAUUAUUUAUUAGCUAAUUGGUGCAUGAGAUUAUAUAUAAAUAUGUAUAUCUAAUGUGCUUAGUGAUG